UAAUCAAAAUCACUUUAGAAUUUCAAAUCAGACGAUGGCCCGGGGAGUUGUGGAUCGCUGGCUUCGGUUGUGGCUCCAUCAGUCCGUCAGUCAGCCGGGACACUCAGCCCGCCCAGUGGCCAAGUGGCGUUUAGUGGAGCACAGCCUCCCCGUCUUGGAUCCUCCAUCUCCGAUCCUCCAUCCUCUAUCCUCGGCAUCAUCUUCAUCAUCUGAUGGUCCCAUCCUGGGCACGCAAGCGACGACAGUUGUGGGCAAGCAGAAAAAACUAAGAUUAUUCAAAUUUAAUGGGCGAAGAGGCUGCAGAGCAUGGAGCGUCACGAGCAAAGGUGUCUUCCCAGGCAGGCUCGAGAAAUUUCGCACUGAAAAGGCUUUAAUUUCUUAAAAUGUUCAAAAACAAAUUUUUAAAAACCAUGGUGCACUCUGUGAGCUACUGGACGCAAGCUUGUCAUCAUGAUUGAUACGUUUGAUGGAUUGAUUUGAGUGGAUGCGGUGCGCCAGUGUCCAGUAUCCAGUAUCCAGUAUCCAGUGUCCAGUGUUAGAGCAUCGACUGAAACUUGCUGAUUGAUCGCGGCGCGUUGAUUACAAUCGCAGUUGCAGUUGGACCUGGGUACACUCGAGUUGGUCGAUUUGGAGUCGGAACAACGCACACGCUGCUGGGAAUUCAAUCAAAAGUGUCAGCGCCAGUUGGUGGAAAACAUCUAACUGGGAACUGCGAACUGGGAACUGGGAGCUGAGCUGCACUAACUAGCCCGGAGGCUAUGCCGAUCCGAUCCCCAAUGCGAAACAGGUACUUUUCGCGCUUUUCGCCCCAAUGCGAUGCGAUGCGAUGAUGAUGAUGAUGAUGAGGACCACGAUGAUGGCGGCAAGUGUCUGUUGUGUCUUUUAGUGCCAUGUUAUAUGCCACCUUAAUGAUCUUGUCUCGGCCAGGCGAGGCGACUCUGCAACAUUUUGACCACCAACGGCGCCUUUAUUGACUUCACAGUCCCGUCUCGCGACUCUCGUCUCUCGACUCUCGACUCUUUCGACUCUCAACUGGGUGGCCCAGACUCAGAGCCGAAGUUGGGCCUAUUAAGUCAUAGCACCGGCUCAUUUCAAAUCACUUCACAGCUGCCGGGCGGCAGUGUUGAGAGCCGA